UUUCUUACGAUCCCUUCGGGGUGACGAGUUAUUGACUGAGUGGCGGACGGGUGAGUAACGCGUGGGUAACCUACCUUGUACAGGGGGACAACAGUUGGAAACGACUGCUAAUACCGCAUAANCGCACAGCAUCGCAUGAUGCAGUGUGAAAAGUUUUUUCGGUACAAGAUGGACCCGCGUCUGAUUAGCUAGUUGGUGAGGUAACGGCCCACCAAGGCGACGAUCAGUAGCCGACCUGAGAGGGUGACCGGCCACAUUGGGACUGAGACACGGCCCAAACUCCUACGGGAGGCAGCAGUGGGGAAUAUUGCACAAUGGGCGCAAGCCUGAUGCAGCGACGCCGCGUGAGCGAAGAAGUAUUUCGGUAUGUAAAGCUCUAUCAGCAGGGAAGAUAAUGACGGUACCUGACUAAGAAGCACCGGCUAAAUACGUGCCAGCAGCCGCGGUAAUACGUAUGGUGCAAGCGUUAUCCGGAUUUACUGGGUGUAAAGGGAGCGUAGGCGGUUUUACAAGUCUGAUGUGAAAGCCCGGGGCUCAACUCCGGUAUUGCAUUGGAAACUGUAGAACUAGAGUGUCGGAGGGGUAAGUGGAAUUCCUAGUGUAGCGGUGA
rnacentral:rRNA from 1 species